AGUGAACGCUGGCGGUAGGCCUAACACAUGCAAGUCGAACGGCAGCACAGUAAGAGCUUGCUCUUACGGGUGGCGAGUGGCGGACGGGUGAGGAAUACAUCGGAAUCUACUUUUUCGUGGGGGAUAACGUAGGGAAACUUACGCUAAUACCGCAUACGACCUACGGGUGAAAGCAGGGGAUCUUCGGACCUUGCGCGAUUGAAUGAGCCGAUGUCGGAUUAGCUAGUUGGCGGGGUAAAGGCCCACCAAGGCGACGAUCCGUAGCUGGUCUGAGAGGAUGAGAAGCAAGAAGGGAAAAAAACGAGGGGACGGACGCCAGCGGGAGGCAGCAGUGGGGAAUAGUGGACGAUGGGCGCAGGCCUGAUCAACCCAUACGGCGGGGAUGAAGAAGGCCUUCGGGUUGUAAAGCCGUUUUGUUGGGAAAGAAAAGCAGAAGGUUAAUAACCCGCUGUUCAGACGGUACCAAAAGAAUAAGAACCGGCUAACUUCGUG
rnacentral:rRNA from 1 species